UACAGAGGUCUCAAGCGUUGUACGGAUUCAUUGGGCGUAAAGGGUGCGUAGGCGGCGCGGUAAGUCGGGUGUGAAAUCUCGGGGCUUAACUCCGAAACUGCAUUCGAUACUGCCGUGCUUGAGGACUGGAGAGGAGACUGGAAUUUACGGUGUAGCGGUGAAAUGCGUAGAUAUCGUAAGGAAGACCAGUGGCGAAGGCGGGUCUCUGGACAGUUCCUGACGCUGAGGCACGAAGGCCAGGGGAGCAAACGGG
rnacentral:rRNA from 1 species